rnacentral:rRNA from 1 species
UACGUAGGGGGCAAGCGUUGUCCGGAAUCAUUGGGCGUAAAGCGCGUGUAGGCGGCCACGUUAGUCCGUUCUGAAAGCCCGGGGCUCAACCCCGGGAGGCGGAUGGAUACUGCGUGGCUCGAGUCCGGAAGAGGCGAGUGGAAUUCCUGGUGUAGCGGUGAAAUGCGCAGAUAUCAGGAGGAACACCAAUAGCGAAGGCAGCUCGCUGGGACGGUACUGACGCUGAGGCGCGAAAGCGUGGGGAGCGAACAGG